rnacentral:rRNA from 1 species
AGUGUGUGUGUUAGUGGAAGCGUCUGGAAAGGCGCGCGAUACAGGGUGACAGCCCCGUACACAAAAAUGCACAUAUUGUGAGCUCGAUGAGUAGGGCGGGACACGUGGUAUCCUGUCUGAAUAUGGGGGGACCAUCCUCCAAGGCUAAAUACUCCUGACUGACCGAUAGUGAACCAGUACCGUGAGGGAAAGGCGAAAAGAACCCCGGCGAGGGGAGUGAAAAAGAACCUGAAACCGUGUACGUACAAGCAGUGGGAGCCUCUUUAUGGGGUGACUGCGUACCUUUUGUAUAAUGGGUCAGCGACUUAUAUUCUGUAGCAAGGUUAACCGAAUAGGGGAGCCGAAGGGAAACCGAGUCUUAACUGGGCGUUAAGUUGCAGGGUAUAGACCCGAAACCCGGUGAUCUAGCCAUGGGCAGGUUGAAGGUUGGGUAACACUAACUGGAGGACCGAACCGACUAAUGUUGAAAAAUUAGCGGAUGACUUGUGGCUGGGGGUGAAAGGCCAAUCAAACCGGGAGAUAGCUGGUUCUCCCCGAAAGCUAUUUAGGUAGCGCCUCGUGAAUUCAUCUCCGGGGGUAGAGCACUGUUUCGGCAAGGGGGUCAUCCCGACUUACCAACCCGAUGCAAACUGCGAAUACCGGAGAAUGUUAUCACGGGAGACACACGGCGGGUGCUAACGUCCGUCGUGAAGAGGGAAACAACCCAGACCGCCAGCUAAGGUCCCAAAGUCAUGGUUAAGUGGGAAACGAUGUGGGAAGGCCCAGACAGCCAGGAUGUUGGCUUAGAAGCAGCCAUCAUUUAAAGAAAGCGUAAUAGCUCACUGGUCGAGUCGGCCUGCGCGGAAGAUGUAACGGGGCUAAACCAUGCACCGAAGCUGCGGCAGCGACACUAUGUGUUGUUGGGUAGGGGAGCGUUCUGUAAGCCUGUGAAGGUGGCCUGUGAGGGUUGCUGGAGGUAUCAGAAGUGCGAAUGCUGACAUAAGUAACGAUAAAGCGGGUGAAAAGCCCGCUCGCCGGAAGACCAAGGGUUCCUGUCCAACGUUAAUCGGGGCAGGGUGAGUCGACCCCUAAGGCGAGGCCGAAAGGCGUAGUCGAUGGGAAACAGGUUAAUAUUCCUGUACUUGGUGUUACUGCGAAGGGGGGACGGAGAAGGCUAUGUUGGCCGGGCGACGGUUGUCCCGGUUUAAGCGUGUAGGCUGGUUUUCCAGGCAAAUCCGGAAAACCAAGGCUGAGGCGUGAUGACGAGGCACUACGGUGCUGAAGCGACAAAUGCCCUGCUUCCAGGAAAAGCCUCUAAGCAUCAGGUAACAUCAAAUCGUACCCCAAACCGACACAGGUGGUCAGGUAGAGAAUACCAAGGCGCUUGAGAGAACUCGGGUGAAGGAACUAGGCAAAAUGGUGCCGUAACUUCGGGAGAAGGCACGCUGAUAUGUAGGUGAAGCGACUUGCUCGUGGAGCUGAAAUCAGUCGAAGAUACCAGCUGGCUGCAACUGUUUAUUAAAAACACAGCACUGUGCAAACACGAAAGUGGACGUAUACGGUGUGACGCCUGCCCGGUGCCGGAAGGUUAAUUGAUGGGGUUAGCGGUAACGCGAAGCUCUUGAUCGAAGCCCCGGUAAACGGCGGCCGUAACUAUAACGGUCCUAAGGUAGCGAAAUUCCUUGUCGGGUAAGUUCCGACCUGCACGAAUGGCGUAAUGAUGGCCAGGCUGUCUCCACCCGAGACUCAGUGAAAUUGAACUCGCUGUGAAGAUGCAGUGUACCCGCGGCAAGACGGAAAGACCCCGUGAACCUUUACUAUAGCUUGACACUGAACAUUGAGCCUUGAUGUGUAGGAUAGGUGGGAGGCUUUGAAGUGUGGACGCCAGUCUGCAUGGAGCCGACCUUGAAAUACCACCCUUUAAUGUUUGAUGUUCUAACGUUGGCCCGUAAUCCGGGUUGCGGACAGUGUCUGGUGGGUAGUUUGACUGGGGCGGUCUCCUCCUAAAGAGUAACGGAGGAGCACGAAGGUUGGCUAAUCCUGGUCGGACAUCAGGAGGUUAGUGCAAUGGCAUAAGCCAGCUUGACUGCGAGCGUGACGGCGCGAGCAGGUGCGAAAGCAGGUCAUAGUGAUCCGGUGGUUCUGAAUGGAAGGGCCAUCGCUCAACGGAUAAAAGGUACUCCGGGGAUAACAGGCUGAUACCGCCCAAGAGUUCAUAUCGACGGCGGUGUUUGGCACCUCGAUGUCGGCUCAUCACAUCCUGGGGCUGAAGUAGGUCCCAAGGGUAUGGCUGUUCGCCAUUUAAAGUGGUACGCGAGCUGGGUUUAGAACGUCGUGAGACAGUUCGGUCCCUAUCUGCCGUGGGCGCUGGAGAACUGAGGGGGGCUGCUCCUAGUACGAGAGGACCGGAGUGGACGCAUCACUGGUGUUCGGGUUGUCAUGCCAAUGGCACUGCCCGGUAGCUAAAUGCGGAAGAGAUAAGUGCUGAAAGCAUCUAAGCACGAAACUUGCCCCGAGAUGAGUUCUCCCUGACUCCUUGAGAGUCCUGAAGGAACGUUGAAGACGACGACGUUGAUAGGCCGGGUGUGUAAGCGCAGCGAUGCGUUGAGCUAACCGGUACUAAUGAACCGUGAGG